UACGUAGGUGGCAAGCGUUGUCCGGAUUUACUGGGUGUAAAGGGCGUGUAGCCGGGAAGACAAGUCAGAUGUGAAAUCCACGGGCUUAACUCGUGAACUGCAUUUGAAACUACUUUUCUUGAGUAUCGGAGAGGCAAUCGGAAUUCCUAGUGUAGCGGUGAAAUGCGUAGAUAUUAGGAGGAACACCAGUGGCGAAGGCGGAUUGCUGGACGACAACUGACGGUGAGGCGCGAAAGCGUGGGGAGCAAACAGG
rnacentral:rRNA from 1 species